GUGUGUUGCGGAGUGUUGUCAGGAAGACCACGUGUGCGGGAGAGAGGGACGCAAAAGCCGGCAGAGAGAAAGGUGGGAGCGUGACGUAGUUGGGAUAGAGCUCUCAGCUGAUCCCUGCAGGGAGCCCUGGAAUAGGGAUGGACAUUCUGCAGUGGCAGUAGCUAGAUCCAUGGCAGCUCCUGGUUGUAGCCCGCCUCUGGCCAAACAGCCGAGCCACUCGUCAUUGCCUAUGGAUCCGUGUAGAGUCUAGCCUCAGGCUACUUCUUUUCCAGCACAAAUGGAGUGAGCAGACAUGCCCCCCGGAGCUCUGCCAUUGGGAAGACUUUC